GUCAGCAGCCGCGGUAACACCGGCGGCCCGAGUGGUGAUCGUGAUUAUUGGGUCUAAAGGGUCCGUAGCCGGUUGGUCAGUCCUCCGGGAAAUCUGAUAGCUCAACUAUUAGGCUUUCGGGGGAUACUGCCAGACUUGGAACCGGGAGAGGUAAGAGGUACUACAGGGGUAGGAGUGAAAUCUUGUAAUCCCUGUGGGACCACCUGUGGCGAAGGCGUCUUACCAGAACGGGUUCGACGGUGAGGGACGAAAGCUGGGGGCACGAACCGGAUUAGAUACCCGGGUAGUCCCAGCCGUAAACGAUGCUCGCUAGGUGUCAGGCAUGGCGCGACCGUGUCUGGUGCCGCAGGGAAGCCGUGAAGCGAGCCACCUGGGAAGUACGGCCGCAAGGCUGAAACUUAAAGGAAUUGGCGGGGGAGCACAACAACGGGUGGAGCCUGCGGUUUAAUUGGACUCAACGCCGGACAACUCACCGGGGGCGACAGCAAUAUGUAGGCCAAGCUGAAGACUUUGCCUGAAUCGCUGAGGGGAGGUGCAUGG
rnacentral:rRNA from 1 species